UUCAUUUUCAUCGACUGGGUUGGGUAGCAGGCAACCGGAGCUGCCACUGUACUCCGUCCUCAAGCCGUCGGCCCCGUUGCUAAGAGGUUCCCCUCUCCCCUCCCCUUAGCAAACUCUUAUUGUGAAUGAAAUCGGAAAAUAAUGCUAUGAUGAAAUCUGAUCAUUGUGCUGUGAUAAGUAGGACAUAUAGCGAUAAAUUCUGAAAUUCCAAAACAUGCUAUGUAAAUUAAUUUCAUUAACAAAUGUUUAUUUUUGCUGGGCAUUUAGAGAAGUUUUAAUACCAGUUAUUUGGGUCCCAUUUUUAAGUGAUUGAAUACUGGAAUGCAUAAAAUGUGGUUUGGGUAGAAUUAACCGUAAAAAUUCACUAGUCAGCAAGCCCUCAUUUGGAAUGCAGGAAAUUUUCUCUUUUCAUGCAAGAGCGAGCUAUAUGUUAAUUAGACUAGUGCUGUGAGUUCAGUGUGCAGAAAUUUACAUGCAGAAAUGAGGCCUAAACCUCAUUUGACUAGAGAUAUUGGGAUUGUGCUUGUCAUCUGUUAUUUUUCCUUAGAAUCAACAUUCUUAGACUUGCUGAUAUACCUAUGCAGUUUUACUAGAUUUGGCUAUACGAGGCGAAUUGAUAAGCGUCACUAAUUAUAGAUUGGAAUUAUUAUUACUAGAUGUAGUUGGUUCAUUUUUAAUUUACAUCUUCUGUACUGAAUGGUGUACAAGUGAGUUGAUUUGAGAGUAUUAUGAAUAGUUAUAGCUGUUCAAGCUAAUUGAUCAAAAGCACUAACAAUAGGAUAUUUGAAUGGUCCAAGACUUGUUCUUUUCUUAUGUACAAACCAUUUAUAGUCACUGCCUCACUGGCCUUGCUAACUUUUGUCUAUCUUUUUUUAACAGAUCAUGGCUCUUAUCUAAAAUGCUGCCAUAAAUCUCUAUGGAUGAAACCUUUGGUUCAUGAUUUCAAGGUACCUCAUUGAAUUGAUGAUAUGCUGCCUAGCAGUUACACUAUGAAAUUUGUCAUUUUAGCAUAUGUAUGGAUAUACCAUGUCAGCUUUUGGUCCUUGCUCUAUUUUUAUAGAACACUUUUGAAAGAAACCACAUGUGAAGAAAACAAACUAGUGUCUCAUUGUCAUUUAGUUUGUUAUAGAUGAAGAAAACUCUACCAAUUUAUUCUGCCAAUUGGACUGCAUUUUAAGAUCCUUCCUUGCCCAUGAUAAACUAUUGAAGUAGAAUAGUUCUUAAGUUGUUGUCGGAAGACACUUUUCUUGUAGUUGUACACCCCUAAUUUAAUUAAUGCUAAUUGCUGAAGAACAGGGACAGAACCCCUAAUUUAUUAUUGUUGAAGAACUUACAUGGAACCCCUAAUCUGAACAUGGACAAGAACAUGGACAGGGCACCUUUCUUAUGCUAUUUUUGCCUUGCCAUUCAUGGUAAGGAUUGUGUCGAUAAUGAGUGCUAUAGUGUUUUCUUUCUCUGUUGCAGAUGUGUUGGCCUUAAUUUCUCUGUUUCAGUAACUAAGAGAAUCUGCAGUUGCCUCAUCUACAUGAUUAUUUUCUUGCUUUGUUAAACUAUUAUAUUUGUUUUGCUAUAGCCUGGGUAUUCACAAUCAUUAAUUGUUAGUAUUUACAUGCAGAAAUGAGGCUUAUAUCAUUAUAAAAUUUUAAAUAUAUAAGAGCCCUCCUUUUUUUAGGGGUAUAAAUACUUUUUUUAGAUCAUAUAGGUCUAGUAAAUUUUAACAAAAUGCCUCUUUGCGAAUAUGACAAAAAUGGUGUCAAUUCUGUAUAGGUUAGAAUAUAUGUGCCUCUUAUGUUAGGAUUUUUGCAGUUCUGAUUCAUGGGAAGUGUGGUCCAUAUUGGACAGUUUAUAUAGUACAUUAUUCUAGUGUACAACUCAAACUCAAGUGCUGAACCUUUGCUCAAAACUGCUUUAAACUGAAAAUCAUCCUUAAAACCAUAUAGGGGUCAUUAUUCCAAUUAGAUAACAAAAGGAGCAUUUUUAAAGAGGUAAUACUAGCAGUGAUUAGCAAAUUUAUACCAUUUGAAGUUUCCCUUCAAUACCAGGUGCCAUUUGAAGUUUCCCUUUAAUUCCUGUUUUUUGCAAAUGUAUAUUUCUCUCACUCUCUCUCUAUCUCUCUCAGUCAGUCACAUAAAUUCCAAGAAUCAUGAUUCUGGAAGGGAGAAAACUUGUGCACCCAGUGUUGGACAUGGAAACAAGAUUAACAAGGUGAUGCCUUGCUUUAUUAUUUCAACUUAAUUUCUCUCUCAAGUUAACUUUGUAUUGCCUUUGUUUGAAAGUGAAUUCAUGGUACACUUGCUUAACUUCAAAUGAAAACAUUUGGAGAUGGAAUUGAUGUAUGAUAACUUGAAUGUGUGGAGAUGGAUUGCAUUUAUGUGUGUAUGUUUGGAGAUUUUUGGAUUUGGGGUCAUGUGAAUCUGUGAAUUGAUGUUUGGAGAUGGAUUACAUUUAUGUGAAUUGAUGUGGGUUUUUGUGUGUAUGGUGGAUUGAUGUGAAU
rnacentral:lncRNA from 1 species